GAAAUAAUUUAUAUAAAGCUUCUAACUUUAUUUUUAGAUAUAAAACAUAUCUUUAUUUCU
rnacentral:tRNA from 1 species